AGGUGCUCCAGCACUCUAAUAAUUUUUGUGGCCUUCCUCUGGACUUGCUCCAACAGGUCCAUGUCUUGUGCUGGAGAUCAGCUGGAUGCAGAACUCCAGAUGGGGUCUCAUGAGAGCAGAGUAGAGGAGCAGGACCACCUCCCUUGACCUGCUGGCCACACUGCUUUGGGUGCAACUCAGGAUGCUGCUGGCCUUCUGGACUGUGGGCAUACCCAAGAUAUACUGUUGUUAAAGAGGUGGAACAGAUGUUUGGAAGCUUUGCCUGGAACAGCAUAUAAUCUACUGGCAUUUUGGAUCUGCAGGAGAAAACCAGAAUGUUUCCACCGUCAAAGGUCUCUUGGAGUUGUUGAAAGAAGGCUGGAACAGUCCUGGUUUUUGGACUUGCUUUUCUUAAGGUAAUUUUACAAAAAUGCCUGUAGAAUGCUCAGAAGCUCACCAGCUUUAUGAAGAAGACCUUCAGACUUUCCAGAACUCAAAAGUUCCUCUCAGUGCCAAUUACAAGACUGGAAAGAGGUUUCCAUUUAGUUGAUUUUGGAAAGCGUGAAGUGUUUGAGAGGAUUAGAGACAGCAGAAGAAGAGGAAUUCAGACUAUGUAUUGAGUAAGGGAUGUUGACUGUGGAGGGAGAUUUUGGAGCUUGUUGUGUUUAUAGACAAUUACAUUGCAGAGUUCAUUUGAAUGCACUGGGGUUCAUAAACUUGUGUAGCCUGGAAGGCAGGGCCCAUUGGAAGGAUUCAGAAUUUCAGUGCAAAUGAUUUACCCAGCUGUUAAGAUAACACUUAAAGAGUUAGUGGUAAGAUAAUUUUUUUUUUUUUAAAAGGUCUAAUUUAAAUUGACAAACACAUUGGAAACUGCAGAUGGGCUCAAGCUGAAAAGUAGAGUGUGUGAAGUCUUUCCAAGUUCAG
rnacentral:lncRNA from 1 species